AAAUCAUUUGGCCUUAAAAGACACCAAGUUCGUGUCUUCUUUUGAAGUCUGGACACAAAAUCAUAUUUAAGUAUUGGUUUUUAUUGAUCCCACAACCCACUGAGUCACCCACACCCACACCCGCUGAGAAACCCUCCGCACGCAAUCUCCACAAGAAAGGAUCUCGGAGCGGUGGUGGGCUUGGGAUCGGCGGAGGGUUUGGAAUCGAAAUCGGAGGCAGGAGUGGCAGUAUCGAUAAUUGCGGGGUCAUCGAGGGGCGGUUUCUGAGGGAGGCACUCUUCUUCGUCCCAAUACUCGAAGCUGGUUAAGGGUUGGGAAGAUGGGCGCAUGGAGAGUCCGAAUCGGGAAUCAGGUUAGGAUCCGGGUCUGGUAGGGAGGGAUCAGGGGAAGGAGGUGGGUCGGGUUGGUAGGCAGUGGUGAGGGAAGGGCGGGUGCGAGUCGGGAGAAGGAGUGAGUAGUCGUCGUCCUUAUCGAUUUGAUGAAGAAGGAUUUGAGUGCAUUUGAAUGAUAAAUGGGGUUGGGUGAGUUGGUAUCUUGUGGGCAAAUUCGUGAAGAAGGAUUUGAGUGCAGUUGAACUAGUUGAUGGAAUGUCUAAGAGACAUAAUUACAACUGGAAUUCUCAUAGCUGCUCAUAUGCUGUUUGGAAUGCUCAUAUGAGAUGUGGAAUGCUCAAACUUAUGCAUCAUUUGGUGUUGCAAAUUCAUGACCGUGAUUGGCACCCCAUUGGUGCUACAAAGUCAAUUAAAGUAGAAUUUGGAACAAAUCAUAGAGGCUUUGGACGGGUUGGGACUGGUUCGAAUAUUACUAUAUAGAGCUAUUUCUAGUACUUAUGCAUGCUUGUACGAUUAUGGAUACUCCCAAGGAAAGAUUUGUCUGGUCUUUGAUAUCUUCUGUUGGUAUCUUUUAUCUCGGUUCUGGUGCGACUAUCGUUCAUGGAGUUCAAAACUUGUGGACUUCACAGCCUCUUCCAACUAUUCAAUAUGCACCUCUUGUGAUUGGUGGCUCAUUUAUUAUUGAAGGUGUCUUUCUUCUUGUUCCAUACAAGAUGUCAAGAAAGGUGCAGCUGCUGAGGGCAUAAAGUUGAGAGACUUGAUAUGGCGCGGACAUGAUCCCACAUCUGGUGCAGUCUUGGUGGAGGAUGGCGCAGCUGUAACUGGUCUUGCGAUUGCUGUGGCAUCAUUGAUUGCAGUGAAUAAAACAGGAAAUGCACUUUAUGAUCUCAUAGGAUCGAUUGUAGUUGGCAGCCUACUUGGAAUGGUGGCUAUUUUUCUGAUCCAAGGGAAUCGACAUGCUUUGAUUGCCAGGGCAAUGAAUGACAUUAUAUGAAGCAGGUUCUCCAGUUUUUGAAAAAUGACCCAGUUGUGGAUUCUUUUGAUGUCGCUGAAAAUCUUGCACUUCAGCCUAGGUACAUGUUAUCUGGUGGUCAGAAGAGCAGAGUUGCAUUUGCCAAGAUAGCUUCCAAGAAACCGCACAUAAUAUUGCUGGUUGAGCCCUCCAAUCAUUGGGAUUUGGAUGCUUUGGAGGCACUGACUCAAGGUCUUGUUCUUUUCCAAGGAGGCAUUCUCGUGGUUAGUCAUGGUGAGCAUCUGGUCUCUGGAAGUAUGGAUGUGCUAUGGUUGGUAUCAGAAGGUAGGAUGUAACCAUUCCACGGCAGUUUAGAGGACUACAAGAAGAUACUGCAGUCCUCGUGGGAAAAAAGUUACCAGCAAUUCAUCCAUCACUCAGAUUUUGGAAACAUAGCAAUUGAAUUGAAAACAUGUCCUAUCACAAGUGUGUUGCUGCAAGUUCUUAUGCUUCAUAAUUGGUGGUCUUAUGUUUCUUCCUUAGCUCCCAAAGUUGAGCCUUCCACCACCUUGCUACUGAGCAGAGAGGAAGGUCUAGUGCAGAAAGUCUCCCCACAAGCAGCAUUGACUCGGCAAAAUUCUCACAUUCCUUCCAAGAACAACAAAUUCACACUUCGGUUGCAAGACUCCUUAGUUGAAUUUCACUGCAAACGGUUCCAGAUUUCAAGUUCUAAUCCUAACCUUGAGGACAAGGUUGUUCUUCAAGGGAAGGGCAAUAUUAUGAACUUAGGAUUGUGAUUAUCUUAAUCACAAAUUAAGAGUCAAGUUAGUUGUAAUUGAGGGUUUUACUUCGUGUAUAAGAGCACUUGCUCUUUGGUUUGUAAGCAUAUCAGAAUUUACAAAAGAAAUACAAAAACACAAAAACAAUUCAGGAGCUCUGCUCUCUCUCUCUUCCUUCCCUCUUCCUCUCUAGCCUCUAUGUUACUUGCAGGUUGAUUGAGGGCUUAGAGAUUUGGAUCUUAUCACACCAUCGUCCUCAUCGAUUUCAUCACCAUUAUCCUCAUCGAUUUCAUUGCCAUUGUCCUCAUCGAUCUCGUCGUCCUCAUCUUUUUCCAACUGGGUAAUUUUUUUUUUUUUUCUGUAAUUUUUUUAACAUUUUUUUCUUUUCUGUAUUUGAUCCCGCAGGAAACUCAGUGUCUUCUCGGUGAACCUGGUGAGUGAUUCACUCUUUUUCCCACCAAAUUUGGAGAUAUAAUUUGAAAUGCACCGGGGAUUAGUGCUUCACCAUCAGAAGACAGUAUGCAAGAUUUGCGGUUUUGUGGUUGAUCUGUGGGAGGAAGGAUUUACAACCGCUCGUAAAGAAGAAGAACAUGUAUUAGGAAUUGUUUUUUGUUUCAAAGCAAAAAAAGUACUGUGGUACAACCAACUUAUUGUUUUGUGCAGAACAAAGAAGAACUGACGUCAAGCUUCUCCUUGGGAGUUCUCAGAUAUGGAGUGUUUGAAAGAAAAGGGUACGUUUGAUCGGGACAAAUACCAAUGAACGAUUUGACAGGGUUGGUUUAUGCCAAAUACAUGCUAUAUGAAAGCAAUUUUAGGGAUUGCUAUCUAGAUGUGGAGAGGAAAUAACGUAACAAGGCCAUUUUGAGUGGCUGGAGAAGCUGCAUUGGCACCCCUGAUUGACAAGGGUUUAAAAAGAUCCAAAAAUAUUUCAACUUUCCCAGUCUUGUUAAUGCAUUUGCGCUGCUUGUCUCUGUCGUGGCUGCACCAUGUUUGCCAGUUGCUGGCUUGCUUAUCCUCUCAAGAUGGGGGAAAUGAAUGGUAAACAUUGCGUGCUAACUGUUUCUCGGAGUGAUUCAUUCUCGUAAUUUCCAGUUUCCUAGGUUUUUAUGUUGUCCCAUGGAGCUGCUACUUAUGACUACCAUCAUCAGUCUGCUAAACCCGAGAUUAGGAAUCUAUUAGACAGUCUUACUUUUGUAAGUUGGCGAUUAUAUGCACAAGUAAGACCUGAGGAAAUCGUGGAUUUGUUUGAAUACAAUGUAGCGUCCCAGCGUUGAAAACUAGUAGUGUUUCGCUCAUGGAAAUGUACCUUGGAAUGAAUAAGUGUGUAAUACUUAUUUUUUGUUCCAAC